rnacentral:tRNA from 1 species
GGCGAGAUGGCCGAGUGGUUAAGGCGCUGGUUUUAGGUUCCCUUACAGGACAAAUCACCAGUUGGAAACAGCGUGGGUUCAAAUCCCACUCUCGUCA